rnacentral:rRNA from 1 species
UGCCAGCAGCCGCGGUAAUACGGGGGGUGCAAGCGUUAAUCGGAAUUAUUGGGCGUAAAGGGAGCGCAGGCUGUCUUGCAGGUCAGAUGUGAAAGCCCGGGGCUUCGACCCCGGAAGUGCAUUUGAAACCGCAAGACUUGAGUAUGGGAGAGGGUAGUGGAAUUCCUGGUGUAGAGGUGAAAUUCGUAGAUAUCAGGAGGAACACCGGUGGCGAAGGCGACUACCUGGACCAAUACUGACGCUGGGGCUCCAAGGCGGGGGGGGCAAACAGGAAUAAGUU